UCUUAUAACCUGCUCCUACAAAGCAGUACUGCUACAUCCAUAAUCUUAUAACUUGCUGCUGCAAGGGAGUGUUGCUUCAUUGACUAUCUUAUAGCCUGCUCCUUCAAGGAAGUGCUGCUACAUUGACUAAGGGUUUGGCAUAAGGCAGCAAUGGAAGGAUGGUUUUCUCUCUAAUGGAAAACGACGUAGUAAAACAUAUGAAUUGGUCAGAACUUGGUGAAAAUCUAAAAAAACCCUUUCGUGUCUUGAAAUGCCAAUAAGUUCUGGAAAAAGCAUUGCGAAGAAAUCCACCAACGAAAGGUGCUUCAGAAAGUGAUGUGCAGAAGGCCGUGGUUCACUAUUUAGCAGGAGCUAGCGUACGUAAUUGUGGUAGAAAACAAAAAGCCAUUCGACAAUCAAUAAAAAAAACUCACUUUGAACAUAGUGCACUAAUGCCUACAGCUUCAUCGGCAGUUAUAGAACAACCUUUAGUAUUGCCUAAAACUUCAGCGGAAGUUUCACUGCAUUAUUUGCCACUUUUUUACUCAGACGACUCAAACAAUUAGUUAUGUUAAAAAUUAGUUAUGUUAAAUGCUGCUACCUUAUAGUUUCUUCAGAAACGUUUUAAAAGUUGUUUCCCAUAUUCAUAAUGUAGUUAUAUUUUUCGUGUAUUAAUAUUGUAUUUUAUGU